AGUGAACGCUGGCGGCGUGCUUAACACAUGCAAGUCGAACGGUAGCAGAUAGAAGCUUGCUUCUAUGCUGACGAGUGGCGCACGGGUGAGUAAUGUAUAGCUAACGUGCCCCUUAGAGGGGGAUAACAGUUGGAAACGGCUGCUAAUACCCCAUACUCCUUCUAUCUUAAUGAUAGUUGGGAAAUGUUUUUUCGCUAAGGGAUCGGGCUAUAUGGUAUCAGCUAGUUGGUGAGGUAAUGGCUCACCAAGGCAAUGACACCUAGCUGGUCUGAGAGGAUGAUCAGCCACACUGGAACUGAGACACGGUCCAGACUCCUACGGGAGGCAGCAGUGGGGAAUAUUGCACAAUGGGGGGAACCCUGAUGCAGCAACGCCGCGUGGAGGAUGACACAUUUCGGUGCGUAGACUCCUUUUAUAUAGGAAGAUAAUGACGGUACUAUAUGAAUAAGCACCGGCUAACUCCGUGCCAGCAGCCGCCGUAA
rnacentral:rRNA from 1 species